ensembl:lncRNA
GAAGCGGUGAAGCGUCAGAAAUAACUCAUGAUUCGUUGUACUAACGUUUCAUAGCGACCAAGUCGUAGCUAAAGACACGGUAAUUCACAUAGAUUAUCACAGAUAAUGUCACACAUGCGGUUAAAAUGUCGCGCAUUGUCUUGGUUCAAGUUACUCAACUGUGGCAAAUGAACCUAUAUGAUAAAGCUGUGCACAAACUCCAGUUUUUUCGAGCCAUGCAAACAAUUUAGCAUAAUCGAAAGGACAACAUAACGAGGGUCGGGAUAUCCCGAGCCUGCCCUCUCCCUCCACUGAGCAGAUGAUGGUUACAUCCGGGAUCCUGGGAUGGAGACAAACGACAUUAAACAGCUUGUACAAGCACGAGCAGAGGACCUGCAACAGUUUUGGUUCCCCCAGUCCAGAUCCCAUCGGAGUGGGAAGACCUGGAAAUCCAGUUGCAAGCCAAGGAAACGGUAAUCUCUGAUCUGGAGAGGAAGCCCAGAGACGUUUUCCAACAGAAACAAAAGACUGUAACCCAGGUGCUGGAGGGCAGUAGGAGGCUCUCGUGUCUGCAGCGGAUCCAGAAAGGCGACAUGAAGGAGAUCGCUGAGAAAGACACUUGCAUCACCAAACUGCAGGCCGACACUGAGCUGCUGCAGCAAGAGGGGGGCCGACGCAGACGCUCAGCUGAAUGGGAGAGAGCGAGGGAGCUUCAGCAGGAGCCGAGGCGAAAAAGAUGAGGAAUGGAGGCAAAGCGAAGACGAAAGGAGGCAGAAAUGUGAAAAGCAGUGUCAGGAGGCAGACGAGGCGGCUGAGAAAAGUGGAGGAGGUGAAGAAGAGGGAGGAACAACAACGGCGGGAGGGGAUUGAGGAGGAGAGAGAGGCCCAUACUCGAAUCUAUAAAAAGGGGACUGAGAAGUCUGAGUUGCCGGUCAGAGUCUCACCAGAAGGAGGAGAUUCUUCUCUCUGAGGUUUGGAAAACACAAGCAAAAGAAGAAAAAGAAAAAGAUGAAAGCGCGAGAUGAGCAUGGGAGCCACCUGGACCAGGAUGUGGUUGGUUUGCGAGCCACACGGGACUCUGUGACGGGAACCUUGGCAAUGACGGAGAAACAAAAGCAACAGCUGGUCAUUGACAAUGCACGGCUCAAUGAAAGCAGAGCAAACUGCAAACCACCGAGUGCUUGUGGAACGACACCCGUGAAACAACACCGGCCCCGGACACGGAAAGAGCAGCAGAGAGUGCAGAUCCAAGACCAGUUGCACCGCUCCAACAAAGAGAAGGAGCACGUGCAGCAGGAGCUGAUACACGUGCGUCACACACCACUGAAAAGAAGAAGAGGGAGAUUAGGACGUGCGCGCUGGUGAGGGAGCUCACCGAGAGUAAGAUGCGGCACUCUGAAUGUCAAAAUGAGCGUUUGGAUCUUAGGCCUUGGGGGGACCUGAGCGGGGAGAGGGACGAGCAGGGGGCCCAGACGGGGGGCCGGAGCAGAGAGUCUGACCACGGCAUCCAGAACGAAGAGACACCGGAGGCUGAGAAGGUCCAUGACAACAGGACCUUACACCUGCAGGAGGAGGUGGGACCAUUGAAACACGAGGUCGGAGGUCACCAGGAUGAGUCGUGUCCGCUCAGCCAAGAGGCCGGAGGGAUGCAGCGCCUCAUGGAGCAGAAAGAGAAGCAGCAACAGCGGCGGCUACGCCAUCAGCUCCGCGUUGGUCGGCAACAGGUCGAGACAUUUGGAGGGAAGCUAAAGAAGCAGGAGGUUGAGAUGGAAAUUCUCCGUGAGCAGCUGAAAGGAGCCGAGGAGGUGAUAAGAGACGCAGGUUUACGAGCCCGGGAGCAGAAGGAAACCAUAGCCAUUUUUAGACAAAAGUACAACGCAGCCAUGGAGAAGGUGCAUCGGGUGCAAGGACAGGUGGAGCUAUUGAAAGAGGAACUACAGUACUCACAGCAACAGCUUCGAGAUUCCCAAUUGGCCGCGCAUUCAGCGAAAGAGGAGCUCGCUGGGAUGGAGCAGCGGUAUCUGGAGAAGGUCGGCCACUGGGAGAACGCCCAGGAGGCUUUAGACCAGUUGGCGGAUGAACUCCUGGCGAGCCGGACCCUCCUGAGGGAGAGUCAACAAAGAGCUGACCACCUUAAAGGCUUAGUGGAAACCAUGCGGGAGCAGGUGGACACGAUCAAACAGCAGAAGCUGAUGUUGGAGUGCGACCGACAGCUGCACCAACAGAGUCGUUGUGAUGAGCAGUGGCACAGAGAGCAGCUACACAAGCGCUGCACCGAGCAGGUUGUGCGCCUUGCCGAGUGUGAAAAGGCGAUUCUUCAGAUGAAGUCGGAGCUGGAGAGACAGGUCCGGCGAGAAGCAGAUCGGAGGCAAAGUUCCGUUGCUUCCCGCCGUGCAAACAUGAGCGAUCGCAUCCAACUGGAACAGGAAGUGAUACAUCUGAAAAAGGAAGUGGCAGCCGUAAGGCGUGAGCCGGCGGACACCCAAAAGGUUCAUAUGGCACUUGGCCGACAGUCAGAGGAGCAGCUGAAGGAGGUCAGGAGAGCGGCGGCGAGGCGGAGCGGCGAUGGGUUCGCGCACAGAGAGGAGGUGCAGAGACUUCAGGAGGACUUACUGAAGGCGGAGGAGAGAAUGAGGAGGCAGUUGAGUCGAGAGCUGGAGGAGCCGCGCAGCGAGCCGCAAGUGACAGCGGAGGAGUUGGCAACCCGUGCAGAGGAGGCGAGGCGGAUGCAGGGGCGGCUGAAUGAGGGAAAGCUAGCGGAGGAGAAAAUAAGGUCACGGGACGGGGGGCCGGAGACAGAAGUGGCGGCGCUCCGGAGGAAUCUUCAGCAUGCUGUCGAUCACAAACUCCAGGCGGAGCGGGAGAAACGGGAAGCCCGGGAACAGGCGGCCGUUGACAAACAACCCAGCGGCAUGCGUAGGGAAGUUUGUGAUAAAAAAGAUCUGUGAGAGGAGCGAGGCCAUGCAGCGGCAGACGAAGGACGACUUCUGUCGUCGAAAUGACAAAUACUGCUGCAGCAGCUGAUCCCACAUCCUCCACCAGCACCGCAGUAGUAAACUCUUUUUCUCUGGAGAGACCUGAAAGGACCAGUGGUAUCGCCCUGCUUGGUGGACACACUGCUGGCGGAGCUGGAGGAGACGCGGUCUGAGAAGGCAAACCUGCGCCAUGAGAGCCAGUUGGUCGUGACUAAUGUCAACUGUUGGAUUGCUAAACAAAAAGCUUCCAACGAGAGCCUCAGUGGCCGGACGGAGGCCCAGAACAAGGUGCUGCUCAUCCUCACUGAAGAGAAAGCGCACCUUCAAGGUUCUAAUGACGCGUUGAAAGCGGAGGUAACGCGACUAAAAGAGGUGGGGGACGAGAAGACGAGAGACACGGAGCGCUUCCAGGCCUGGACCCGGGCGUCCCGCAAGACAGGAGAGCCAUGGAAAAGCAGAGCUGUGCGGCUGUGGCUCUAAACCUCAGCAAAAUCCAGGACAUGCAGACUAGACUUCGAAGCAACCUGGAGGCCAUCAGAAUGCUAAAUCAACAAUUGAACUCUCUCAGCGGGGAGAAUAAGCGGUUGCGCAGGCAGCUGGAGGACGAGCGGUCCGUGCGCAGACUGCUGCCUCCUCUUCCUCCUCCUCCACCUUCCAGCAGAGCUCCAUCGUCCACCUCCCCCUGUCCCCCGGUGCUCACCCGGCUCUCCUCUCUGCGCCCGCCUUGUUCUCGUCCCACCGCCCCCCC